GCCGCCUCCUGCGGCGCCAGGUGCGUAGGUGGCGCCGGUAUUGCCGCCUCCGGCGGCGCCAGGUGCGUAGGUGGCGCCAACGUUGCCCCCCCCUCUGGCGUUGGAACGGUAGAUGCUGCCGACGUUGCCCCCCCCUCUGGCGUUGGAACGGUAGAUACCUCCAAUAUGGCCGCUGCCUUCCUCGCCGGGUCCGACGACGCCGCCGACUCUGCCGCCGCCUUCCUCGCCGGGUCCGAAGACGCCGCCAACCCUGCCGCCGCGGCCCGAGAUGUGGUCAGACAUGUCGCCACCCGGGUUCUCCUGCCGACAAAACAAAUUAUGAAGGCGCUAGGAGCAAUUGAUCACUUGAUCGAAGACCAAUACACAACAAUUUCCAGGCGUUGGUUGAUCGAUAUAUACAGGCUUCCGAUCAAGAAAUGGAAUAAGACCCUGGCCUUUACUUUUCGCUGCAAUGGUCCAAUGACGACGAGACAGUGGUUCCUUUUCUUUUUUUUUUUUUGGUACAGCCGACGGUGGUUUCUUCGCGCGUAAGUAAAUUGACCUUUUUUUUUAACAAAAAUGUAAAUCGAUGGCUUUGCUGAAUACUCGCGGCGCACCGGUCGGCAGGC